UACAGAGGGUGCGAGCGUUAAUCGGAAUUACUGGGCGUAAAGGGUGCGUAGGUGGUGACGUAAGUUAGGUGUGAAAGUCCUGGGCUCAACCUGGGGGAUUGCGCCUGAUACUGCGUUGCUAGAGUAUUGUAGAGGAAAGUGGAAUUUCCGGUGUAGCGGUGAAAUGCGUAGAUAUCGGAAGGAACAUCAGUGGCGAAGGCGACUUUCUGGACAAAUACUGACACUGAGGCACGAAAGCAUGGGGAGCAAACAGG
rnacentral:rRNA from 1 species